UCCCAGAGAGCUAGGAUGACAGGCGUGAGCCACCGCGCUUGGCUGAUAUUUUAAUAUUUUAGGUGUGGCCUGUCCUUCUGUACAAGUGAGGUGGGACACGCUUUCUCUUCUGUCUGCUGUGCGUCUCCCAGCGUGGUCUGCAUGGCGUUGCUGGAGGAACCAUCACGUCACUGCCUCCUGUGAGCUCAGAAUAAAGGCAACUCUGAACCGAGAUCUUUGGGGUUGGAACUGAAGAUGAGAGCUGUGAAGCAGACGCAUGCCCGUGAGGCUUGUCUUCUGCGGCGAGCGCCGGCGGCAUGUGGAGUCUCUGCCCCGAAAUGUCAGGAGAGACCACACUGGAGCUCGUGUCUCACCUAGGAAUGCCUCAAGCCCUGGGUUUGCUGUCCUUGCACAAACGUCACCCCGGGCAGUACAGACGCGCCAACCUGACCCCCCACCUCUCGGUCUGUCUGCGGGACCCUCGGCCUGCAAACCGCUCCGGGCCUGGGUUUCUGGUCAGAGGGAAACUCGGUGCCAUGGGUCCGAUUUCAGCCGUUGUGAAACUCCCCGGGAAGGAGCCAGCGCUUGGAGAAGCAAGGUAGCACCGUCACCUGCUGUAGCGUGAGAAGGGAGUUCCUGGUGACCUCCUGGAUCUCGGUGGAGAGAGCCCCACAGAGAAUAUGACAAGUGCCGGCGUGGUUCUCAUUUACCUACGACAAGGCAGGGAAAGAGGGAGACGAAUCAAGGAACAAACUGUUCACCAUCUUACUAUUUUCGGCAGGUGACCAGGAUGCUGCAGAGACGGGGAGUUUAGAUUUCUAGGAUGCAUUUUCUUCUGAGACUCUGCUUUGAUUAAUAUGUGACGUGACAGCGAGCGACCGUGAGCAGGUCUUGGUUCUUGCUGCUCCCUGCAGCCGAGCGAGAGAGUGGGCUCCAGCAGGCCGCUGAAGAAACUCGGAAAACACAGGCACAUUCCUCACGGUUCAGGGGAGGCGUCAGAGAUCCCUGGGAUGGGUAGGAAAGAAAUAGCCUGAGACGUUUCACCUGCAGGUCUGUUAAAGCCAUCAUGUAGGAGCAUUGAUAGCAUUUUUGUCUGCCUCGUUUCACUGACAGACUUUGGCAGCCCUGGGCGUGGUAGUCGUCGUGCAUUUUGAACUACUCGCAAGGGAUAUUCUUGGGUGUCUUCCAUGUAAGAAACGUGGUGCAGAGAAAAAAGGGGGAUUUAUUUUUAUGGAUCUUAUUUCUCCAAAGAUAAAAUAGAACUUGAGUCACAAGUCAUAUCUCUUUUGAAAAACUGGUAGGUAACAGAAUUUUAUUAAACAAUUGUUUGGAUGAAGGAAGAGGAGAUGUGGCAUUAUGGGAUUCUUUGCUAAGUGGAGAUUUUAUGUUGAAAUUAUAGAUACAAACAAUGGGUGCCUUUUAGAACUGAAUACCUGCCAUGUGCUUCCUCUUAAUGCCUUGACAUUCCUGCCUUUUCUUAAGAAACUCAAGAGUCUCUUAAUGACUCUAUCUUUAUCUUUUUAAUGUUUCUAAAAAGGGAGAAUAUCUGACGUAUGUUUUUACUGAAUUUAAGAAGUAUUUGGAGGAAUUUUAGUUUUUUUUCUUUUUUUCUUUUUUCUUAUUUUUUCAUUUUUUAGAAGACACAAGGAGAUUUUAAUUUUAAUAGUGAUCUCUAACUUCCAGUUUUUCUUCCAAGAGCAGCCAGAGGCAGAGCAGGUGGAAGAUGAACGAUGGUUUGGAGGGAGCUGACAUCUGCAGAUCACACAACAACACGUAUUACACUCUAUUGAGCAAACACGCACUGAGCACCCACACGCACCAGGCUGGUGAAAGUGUGGGUGGAAGCACAAGAGAUGGCAUGUCACAGAAUCUGUCUGGUGACUUCAGUGACACAGGAACACGUGUUGGGAGGAGCUUGGCUGUUUCCCGCUGUGAUGGUCUUCAUGGAUGGACAUUGCUCCUCUCUCUUUAUAGUAAAUCCACUGACAAAAAGGCUCUCACCCCUCCCUUCUUGGACCAUUCCAGUUUUGUGUCACAUAAUUUAUUUGGGGAAAUGAAUUCCAUGUGUGCAGCAAAGUUGUUCCAGAUCUACCUCCCUCCUGGCUCACUUUUAGUAUUUUGGGAUUUGAUGGCUGCGUUUAUGGUUAACAAAUGCAAGCCCUUCAUGACGUUUAUGUCUUCCUUAAAACACACACCUCUUCAACCGCUCUGUCUUUCCGAUGUAAAAAUCGUUGCCUUCUUAGUCCACCACUGUUUUCUCUUUAAACUUGUGUGAGAGGCGUUGACAAUCCUGGAUACCAUUAGCUUUUCACCCCAACCCUAUUUUCCAUGGAGAAGAAUGUGUAAACUUUCCUUAGGAAGUAGGUGAGAUAAAUUUUUCUUUCCUUUAAAUAAAAAUAUGUAAGUAUUUGGAAUUCUCGCAAAGUUCUGGAUCAAUCACCCAGGGUGAACACAUCACUUACAGAGACUGGCUAGUGGUACUGUCAUGAGCGAUCUCUUUCAGGUAGCAGUGUCACCUGCUGUAGCAUGAAAACAGAGUCCUAGUGAACUCCUGGAUCUCGGUGGAGAGAGCUCCACAGAGAAUAUGAAAAGUGCUGACAUGGUUCUUAGUUACCUAUGGUAAGGUAGGAAAGAGGGAGUUAAAUUAAAGAACAAAUUGUUCACAAUCUUAAUAUUUUUGGGUGAGUCUCAUAGACCCUCUCUGUGAUAAGCAAUAAGAUUUUAAGAAUCUUAUCAGCCUUGUCUCCAGGCUGUCUCACGCAGCACCCAAGACAGAGAUGGGCAUGUCUCAAAGUUUGUGGGUGUUUCUAUUUUCUAAUAGGGGAAUGCCAGUGAGACUCAUGGAAAAUCCACACUGUUUUUAAUGGAAUUGUACUGACAGAGGCUCUGACAACUAAGACUAAAAGAGACAGAGAUAGCACAAAAUGAAAACAGAGCUUUGGUUCCUCAACUGUCUAUGAGCAGGAAGCAGGCUGAGAAGGCCAAGUUGCAGAUUCAGGCCAUUUUUUAUGGAAAAGGAAGGAUUACUCAGAAAGCAGAACCUAGAGCUUACUCAGAGGACUGAACCCAGAGAAACAUUCCCAGAGGGAAAGGCUGGUGGGAGUGGUGAGUGAUUUGUCCUUUUGGUUUAUUGGUCUUCAGAAAUUAUACUUGAACAAUGGCACCUAAAUAGCUUCAUCUAUUGAUUGAAUUUUGCCAUUUUGUUAUUUAUUCCUUUGCUCCACCCUCUGUUUCUAUUUCUCUUUGACUAUUUAAA